CUGCCACAUCGCUGUUCACCAUCUAGCAAGGGUAGAAUCAGCACAAGGGGACACAUUCUAGAGGAAUGGGCAUCAAAAGUGAGCCUCAUACACCUGUGUUCAUAGCUUUAUUCACAGCAGACAAAAGGAGAAAGUAACCCAAGUGUCCAUUGAUGGAUAAACGGAUAAACAAAAUGUAGUACAUACUUGCAAUAGAAUAUUAUUCAGCCAUUAAAAGGAAGGAAAUUCUGAUGCUAUAAUAUGGAUGAAUCUUGAGGACAUUAUGCCAGGUGAAAUGUUAGCUACAAAAAGACAAAUACUGUUUGAUUCCAUUUACAUGAGGUUCUAGAAGAGUCAAAUUCAUAGAGACAGAAAUAGAAUGGUGGUUGCCAGGGGCUGAGGAAAGCGGGGGACAGGGAGACGUUGUUCAAUGGGUACAGAGCGUCAGUUUUGCAAGACGAAAAGAGUUCUGUAGAUGGGUGAUGGCGAUGGUAGCACAGCAAUGUGAAUGUACUGAAUGCCACAGACUUAUGAAGCCCUGGGUGAGAGGACUACCAAUCACAGCCAGCUGCAAGAUUCCAGACUGGGUCAGAAGGAGAAGCCUAUUGAAUGGAGGCCUUAGUGGGUAAAGUGGAAACACACAGAAGAUACAAAACUCAUCCCUGCUGAAAUUCCAGCCGAAUGCCCAUACCCCAGUGAGAAUCUCCAGUGAUCCCUGCUCCAAACUUCAUGCUCUCCAAAUCACAUAAUCCGUCAUGCCUGGGUGGAUUGUCUUCUCCUCCUUCUAAGAAAGGGACACAGGAUAAGUGGUCCUGAGGAGAGAAGGCUUCUACCUAUAAGAUCUACCAACCUCACUCUAUUCCCAGUGUCUUCCCAGAAAUCUACUUGUGCUCAAUAUCCCAGCAUGUAAAUGCAGCAUCCUUUCAGUAACGGACAUAGGCUGAUUUGUCUGCCCUUAUCCACCACCUGUCAUUGUGAUGCUGUCAGUUAUAGUCCCCUAAUCCACUGUCCUAAGAGAUGGCAAGGGUCCCAGAACAGGCCAAUCAUAAUCCCCCACACACCUGACAGCAAGCACUGGUCCAAAGAAAGAGUGUGUGACCCCAGGUGGGCUGCCCAGAGCUCUUCCCUGGCAUUGAUUCACAGACACUACAUAAAAUCAGGCUCUACUUCUGCUGGGGUGGCUGAAGUAGGAGGAUGGGAAUCUGGGGCUGUAAGCAAGGACCUGCCUGCAGAAAGAAACCAAACAAAGAAAAAAAGAUGAGAAAUGCAGAGACAUACAUAAAUCUUGUUGCCAAGGUGCUCUGAAUCCUUUAGUUCUUCCCUCAAUCUUGCAACCUGCUCCACCAUCCAUUCCCUCUUUUGCUGAAACUAGUUUAAUUUGGGUUUUAUAGCUUACAACAAAAAGAGUCAUGAUUAGUACACCCUCUGACUUUCCUUCCAACUGAGAUAGACACUUGAGGAAAUAUAGCCUUCCUUUAAUCAUUUCAAGAUAAAGGAGUUGGCAUAGAAGGAAGAAGAAUGUAUGAAACUGUAGAGUCUUACAUAAUUGCUGUAGAGUAUGGCUGGGCUGGCUGAGAGAAGCUGUGCUGAAUGAUAAAAUAAAUAGUAACUCCAACAACAAUAACAACUAAUGGUUCUGAGCACCCCUGGCCAUGUCAAUGACCAUGGCAAAAUUCAUUUUAAAUCCCCCUGGUUAUGAGAGCUGAUUGAUGAGACAUGGGCAAAGCUUUGACUAAACUGGAGUCAAAUAGCAAAGAAGAGUCAAGUGAAACAUCAGGGAGCAUUGCAAUACUAGGCUGCCAUUUUGGAGUAUAGCAAUGGACCAAAUAAAAGCAGAUGAGUUGGCCAAGAACUUCAAGAAGAGAAAAAUGAAGCAGGCACUUCCUUACAAAGAGACAGAGGGAAGAUAUGAAGGGUGUCCUGAUCCCCUCUUCCCAGGGUCCAGCUACAACCACCCUAUUUCUGUCCUGCAAUUGAGGCAGAUGAUAUUCUCCUGUAUCUGCUUAACAACACUCCUUUCUUAUUUUUAACACUCAAUUUCUUUUUUGACCAGGUAUAGCAGUGUAAAGAAAUUACUAUUCUAACAGUUGACACUUGAGAUUUGAUUUGAUUUGCUUGUUUUUUAGAAGAACCCAUCUUUAUCAAGAAAUAUACUUUCCUAGUUGCUUUGGGGUGGAGAAGAUGAGAUCCCAAACCUACCUUGUAAGGAGAACAAGAAAUAAAGAGAGAGGUAAACUUUGCUCCAGAAGAAAUGGUCCAGAAUAUUGAAGGUAGGCAAAGACAGGGGAGAAAGAGGACUAGAUCUGGUGGGAAACUGGAUUAAUCCGAAGCCUGUAGAUUAAGGGCACCAGUGAGAAGUUUCCUGUCGUGGAAUGGCCAAGAAGUUUUAAGACAGGGUGUCAAAUCUAC
rnacentral:lncRNA from 1 species